rnacentral:tRNA from 1 species
UGGGUCGGUAGCUCAGGUGGUUAGAGCGUACGCCUGAUAAGCGUAAGGUCGAUGGUUCGAGUCCAUCUCGACCCACCA